GUGCGCGUCCAGUAGACCGGAUUUCUAAUCCGAGGGUUGCAGGUUCAAUUCCUGCCGCGCCUA
rnacentral:tRNA from 1 species